UGGGGAAUAUUGCACAAUGGAGGGAACUCUGAUGCAGCGACGCCGCGUGAACGAAGAAGGCUUUCGAGUCGUAAAGUUCUUUUAUAUGGGAAGAUAAUGACGGUACCAUAAGAAAAAGCCCUGGCUAAAUACGUGCCAGCAGCCGCGGUAAUACGUAUGGGGCGAGCGUUGUCCGGAAUUAUUGGGCGUAAAGGGUACGUAGGUGGUUUUUUAAGUCAGGUGUCAAAGCGUGGAGCUUAACUCCAUUAAGCACUUGAAACUGAAAGACUUGAGUGAAGGAGAGGAAAGUGGAAUUCCUAGUGUAGCGGUGAAAUGCGUAGAUAUUAGGAGGAAUACCGGUGGCGAAGGCGACUUUCUGGACUUUUACUGACGCUCAGGUACGAAAGCGUGGGGAGCAAACAGG
rnacentral:rRNA from 1 species